UACAGAGGUCCCAAGCGUUGUUCGGAUUCAUUGGGCGUAAAGGGUGCGUAGGCGGCGCGGUAAGUCGGGUGUGAAAUUUCGGAGCUUAACUCCGAAACUGCAUUCGAUACUGCCGUGCUUGAGGACUGGAGAGGAGACUGGAAUUUACGGUGUAGCAGUGAAAUGCGUAGAUAUCGUAAGGAAGACCAGUGGCGAAGGCGGGUCUCUGGACAGUUCCUGACACUGAGGCACGAAGGCCAGGGGAGCAAACGGG
rnacentral:rRNA from 1 species